GCAUUGGGGAUUCAGUGGUAGAAUUCUUGCUUUCCGUGCAGGAGACCUGGGUUCAAUUCUCAGCCAAUGUG
rnacentral:tRNA from 1 species